CCUACGGGUGGCAGCAGUGAGGAAUAUUGGUCAAUGGACGAGAGUCUGAACCAGCCAAGUAGCGUGAAGGAUGACUGCCCUAUGGGUUGUAAACUUCUUUUAUAUGGGAAUAAAACGUUCCACGUGUGGGAUUUUGUAUGUACCAUAUGAAUAAGGAUCGGCUAACUCCGUGCCAGCAGCCGCGGUAAUACGGAGGAUCCGAGCGUUAUCCGUAUUUAUUGGGUUUAAAGGGAGCGUAGGUGGAUUGUUAAGUCAGUUGUGAAAGUUUGCGGCUCAACCGUAAAAUUGCAGUUGAAACUGGCAGUCUUGAGUACAGUAGAGGUGGGCGGAAUUCGUGGUGUAGCGGUGAAAUGCUUAGAUAUCACGAAGAACGCCGAUUGCGAAGGCAGUUCACUGGACUGCAACUGACACUGAGGCUCGAAAGUGUGGGUAUCAAACAGGAUUAGAUACCCGAGUAGUC
rnacentral:rRNA from 1 species